rnacentral:rRNA from 1 species
GAUGAACGCUGACAGCAUGCUUAACACAUGCAAGUCAACUGUGGCGGACGGGUGAGUAACGCGUAAAGAACUUGCCUCUCUGAUAGGGACAGCCUUUGGAAACGAAUGCUAAUACCUGAUACUGUGAGAGAGCUUUGCGUCCCAUUAGCUAGUUGGAGAGGUGACGGCUCACCAAGGCGAUGAUGGGUAGCCGGCCUGAGAGGGUGAUAGGGCACAAGGGGACUGAGAAGCGGCCCGUACGCCUACGGGAGGCAGCAGUGGGGAAUAUUGGACAAGGGACCACAGUCUGAUCCAGGAAUUCUGUGUGCACGAUGAAGUUUUCGGAAGGUAAAGUGCUGUCAGUUGGGAAGCGGUACCAACAGAAGAAGCAACGGCUAACUACGUGCCAGCAGCCGCGGUAAUUC